AUUUGUUAACUGACGAACGAAUAAGCUUCGUAAAUGUACUCCGAUAAUUCUACUAAUGCUGCUGACCACGGCUCGAACGUGGACUCCGCUCCCGCCACUCUCGACAACCAGGCCACGGCACGAACUUGGACUUUAUAAUCCACUCAUAAUGAUGAUCCAAGCUUUCACACCGGCGAAAGUUCUUCCCAGCCCUCAGUAACUCAUUCAAGAGAACGUUUACGCUGCGUCAACUGUGGUAUAUAUGUCUCGAGUUUACGAAGGCAUUUGCUAAAAAUUGCAGACGUGCGGAUUCCAACAAUGGGUUCGACAACAGGCACAAGUUUCGAGUGACGUGUUGUUUGCCACUCAUGUUGGACAGCAGCCUGAAAUCAAGUACUACAUCCAACUACUGAAAACAAAAUGCUCGUAUUGUUGGCCAUGUACAUGUGAGCAUCAGCAUUCAGCUGUGGAAAGUCUCUUUUGAAAAUAAGAUCACACACACUCCAGUCUGAUUCUCUGCGUGAGGAGCGCAUAAGAAAUAUGAUAGCCCCAGAGAUUACACUAUGUCAGCUACAAUGAUCAUCAAGUGUGUGUCAUAAUUGUUGGCGAAGGCCUGAUAGAGCAGCAUCUUGUUUAACUCCAGAAUUGGAACCACCUGAACCAGCUAGUUUGUCCUCAAUACAAUCUCAAGUAGAUAGCAAUGUGUUGCAUCCUGAACAGCAUGUCUUAGCUACAUCAGACAGUGUAGAGCUGCCCAAUUAUGUAAGAGCACCAAUGACACAAAAUAAAUGCUUUUAUCCUGGA